AGUGAACGCUGGCGGUAGGCCUAACACAUGCAAGUCGAACGGCAGCACAGUAAGAGCUUGCUCUUACGGGUGGCGAGUGGCGGACGGGUGAGGAAUACAUCGGAAUCUACUUUUUCGUGGGGGAUAACGUAGGGAAACUUACGCUAAUACCGCAUACGACCUACGGGUGAAAGCAGGGGAUCUUCGGACCUUGCGCGAUUGAAUGAGCCGAUGUCGGAUUAGCUAGUUGGCGGGGUAAAGGCCAACCAAGGCGACGAUCCGUAGCUGGUCUGAGAGGAUGAUCAGCCACACUGGAACUGAGACACGGUCCAGACUCCUACGGGAGGCAGCAGUGGGGAAUAUUGGACAAUGGGCGCAGGCCUGAUCCAGCCAUACCGCGUGGGUGAAGAAGGCCUUCGGGUUGUAAAGCCCUUUUGUUGGGAAAGAAAAGCAGCAGGUUAAUACCCCGCUGUUCUGACGGUACCCAAAGAAUAAGCACCGGCUAACUUCGUG
rnacentral:rRNA from 1 species